UACGUAGGGGGCAAGCGUUGUCCGGAUUUAUUGGGCGUAAAGAGCGUGUAGGCGGCCAGGUAGGUCAGCUGUGAAAACUCGAGGCUCAACCUCGAGACGCCGGUUGAAACCAUCUGGCUAGAGUCCGGAAGAGGAGAGUGGAAUUCCUGGUGUAGCGGUGAAAUGCGCAGAUAUCAGGAGGAACACCAACGGCGAAGGCAGCUCGCUGGGACGGUACUGACGCUAAGGCGCGAAAGCGUGGGGAGCGAACAGG
rnacentral:rRNA from 1 species